UAGAAUCCUAUACCGAAGUGGUCAGACUGACAGACCGAUCAAGUUAGAAAGAAGUCUACACUUUAAAGACAUGUCUCGAGGCCUUCCUCGGGAUCGAAGCAGACCCAACAGCCAUUUUCCUGAUUGAUUGACUGAGAAGGGUACUAUGCCCUAUUGGUCUUCGGGAUUAUGGUCGAAGCAAAGUCGAUGAAGACCCAACAACCAUUUUUCUGAUUGAUUGACUGAGAAGGAUAUUCUGCCCUAUUGGUCUUCGGGAUUAUGGUUGAAGCAGAGUCGAUGAAGACCCAACAACCAUUUUCCUGAUUGAUUGACUGAGAAGGGUAUUCCGCCCUAUUGGUCUUUGGGAUUAUGGUCGCAGCAGACGAAGGCUCACCACAGUGACAGAAAGUUUCACCGAAGUAGAUCCAGAAAUCACUCCUGAGAAUCCACUGAGGGCACACCGCCCUGUAGACACUUGUCUUCGAAAAUGCCCAUCUAAGGCUGUCAGGUUCAGAUUCAGCACAUAAAAUGCACCCAUAUUCCUAAGCAUCCGAAGAAGGUACCUCAUCUUAGGGGUUCUCGGGACUAUGGGGCAAGCAGAUGAGGGAGUAAUUCAAGAAUAUAUUCACCCGAGAACACAAAAAAGGCACUCUGCCUUGAGUGUUCUCGCCAACAGCGAAGGACUCGUCACCAAAGCAGAUCUAUAAGCCGCACUCCUGG
rnacentral:lncRNA from 1 species